GAGUUUGAUCCUGGCUCAGAAUGAACGCUGGCGGCGUGCUUAACACAUGCAAGUCGCACGAGAACUGUUCUGCUUGCAGAAGAUAGUAAAGUGGCGCACGGGUGAGUAACGCGUGGGUAAUCUACCUCCGAAUUGGGAAGCACCGGCUAACUCCGUGCCAGCAGCCGCGGUAAUACGGGGGGUGCAAGCGUUAUUCGGAAUUAUUGGGCGUAAAGGGCGCGCAGGCGGUCUCUUAAGUCAGAUGUGAAAGCCCGGGGCUUAACUCCGGAAGUGCAUUUGAAACUAAGGGACUUGAGUAUGGGAGAGGGAAGUGGAAUUCCUGGUGUAGCGGUGAAAUGCGUAGAUAUCAGGAGGAACACCGGUGCCGAAGGCGUCUUCCUGGACCCAUACUGACGCUAAGGCGCGAAGGCGUGGGGAGCAAACAGGAUUAGAUACCCUGGUAGUC
rnacentral:rRNA from 1 species